rnacentral:rRNA from 1 species
GACAGAGGUGCCGAGCGUUAGGCGGAAUCACUGGGCUUAAAGCGUGUGUAGGCGGCCUUCUAAGUACCUUGUGAAAUCCCACGGCUCAACCGUGGAACUGCUUGGUAUACUGGUUGUCUUGGGCCAUCUAGGGGCUAGCGGAACAAACGGUGGAGCGGUGAAAUGCGUAGAUAUCGUUUGGAACGCCAAUGGUGAAAACAGCUAGCUGGGGAUGUGCCGACGCUGAGACACGAAAGCCAGGGGAGCGAACGGG